GUCAGUAUGGUGUAGUGGUUUGAGCAUUGGACUUCGACUCUGGAGACCAGGGUUUGAAUCCCUGAUCAGUCA